rnacentral:rRNA from 1 species
CCUGACCGAGCAACGCCGCGUGGAGGAUGACGGUUUUUCGGAUUGUAAACUCCUUUUCUCAGGGAAGAGUGAGGACGGUACCUGAGGAAUAAGUCACGGCUAACUACGUGCCAGCAGCCGCGGUAAUACGUAGGUGGCAAGCGUUAUCCGGAAUUACUGGGCGUAAAGCGCACGCAGGUGGCUGCUUAAGUCUGACGUGAAAGCUCCUGGCUUAACUGGGAGAGGUCGUUGGAGACUGGGCGGCUUGAGGCGAGGAGAGGGGUGUAGAAUUCCCGGUGUAGUGGUGGAAUGCGUAGAGAUCGGGGAGGAAUACCAGUGGCGAAAGCGGCACCCUGGCCUUGGCCUGACGCUCAGGUGCGAAAGCGUGGGGAGCGAACGGGAUUAGAUACCCCGGUAGUCCACGCGGUAAACGAUGAAUACUAGGUGUAGGUGGUCUCAAAACUAUCUGUACCGCAGCUAACGCGAUAAGUAUUCCGCCUGGG